rnacentral:rRNA from 1 species
AUUGAACGCUGGCGGCAGGCUUAACACAUGCAAGUCGAGCGGGGUGAUGGUGCUUGCACUAUCACUUAGCGGCGGACGGGUGAGUAAUGCUUAGGAAUCUGCCUAUUAGUGGGGGACAACAUCUCGAAAGGGAUGCUAAUACCGCAUACGUCCUACGGGAGAAAGCAGGGGAUCACUUGUGACCUUGCGCUAAUAGAUGAGCCUAAGUCGGAUUAGCUAGUUGGUGGGGUAAAGGCCUACCAAGGCGACGAUCUGUAGCGGGUCUGGGAGGAUGAUCCCCCAAACGGGGACUGAGACACGGCCAAGACUCCGACGGGAGGCAGCAGUGGGGGAUAGUGGACAAUGGGGGGAACCCUGAUCCAGCCAUGCCGCGUGUGUGAAGAAGGCCUUAUGGUUGUAAAGCACUUUAAGCGAGGAGGAGGCUCUUUUGGUUAAUACCCAAGAUGAGUGGACGUUACUCGCAGAAUAAGCACCGGCUAACUCUGUGCCAGCAGCCGCGGUAA